rnacentral:rRNA from 1 species
GGCCUAACCAUGCAAGUCGAGCGGCAGCGGAAAGUAGCUUGCUACUUUGCCGGCGAGCGGCGGACGGGUGAGUAAUGUCUGGGAAACUGCCUGAUGGAGGGGGAUAACUACUGGAAACGGUAGCUAAUACCGCAUAAUGUCGCAAGACCAAAGAGGGGGACCUUCGGGCCUCUUGCCAUCAGAUGUGCCCAGAUGGGAUUAGCUAGUAGGUGGGGUAAUGGCUCACCUAGGCGACGAUCCCUAGCUGGUCUGAGAGGAUGACCAGCCACACUGGAACUGAGACACGGUCCAGACUCCUACGGGAGGCAGCAGUGGGGAAUAUUGCACAAUGGGCGCAAGCCUGAUGCAGCCAUGCCGCGUGUAUGAAGAAGGCCUUCGGGUUGUAAAGUACUUUCAGCGGGGAGGAAGGUGUUGAGGUUAAUAACCUCAGCAAUUGACGUUACCCGCAGAAGAAGCACCGGCUAACUCCGUGCCAGCAGCCGCGGUAAUACGGAGGGUGCAAGCGUUAAUCGGAAUUACUGGGCGUAAAGCGCACGCAGGCGGUCUGUCAAGUCGGAUGUGAAAUCCCCGGGCUCAACCUGGGAACUGCAUUCGAAACUGGCAGGGUUAAUCCUUGUUGAGGGGGGUAGAAUUCCAGGUGUAGCGGUGAAAUGCGUAGAGAUCUGGAGGAAUACCGGUGGCGAAGGCGGCCCCCCUGGACAAAGACUGACGCUUCGGUGC